GAUGAACGCUAGCGGUGUGCCUAAUGCAUGCAAGUCGAACGGGAUCUCUUGGAUUCGUCUGAGAGUGAGAGUGGCGGACGGGUGAGUAACACGUAGGUGACCUACCUCAGAGAGGGGGACAACCAUUGGAAACGAUGGCUAAUACCCCAGAUGAUAUUGUUAUUAGAAAGCAAUGUCUAAAGCUCCGGCGCUCUGAGAGGGGCCUGCGGCCCAUCAGCUUGUUGGUAAGGUAAUGGCUUACCAAGGCUAAGACGGGUAGGGGGCGUGAGAGCGUGAUCCCCCACACUGGUACUGAGACACGGACCAGAUACCUGCGGGUAGCAGCAGCAAGGAAUAUUGCGCAAUGGGCGAAAGCCUGACGCAGCAACACCGCGUGGAGGAUGAAGGCUCUAGAGUUGUAAACUCCUUUUCUGGGGGAUGAGAAAGGACAGUACCCCAGGAAUAAGUCUCGGCUAACUACGUG
rnacentral:rRNA from 1 species